rnacentral:ncRNA from 1 species
CGAUUUCCAAUCCGCCCAGGUGUGCGCGACCUCCAGGUCCGCAUUAAACGGGAAGCCGGUGCGCUCGAAGAGCAAGGCCGGCGCUGCCCCCGCAACGGUAAUCGACCGUGAUCAGAGGAUCACCGCCCGCUCAACCGCCACUGUGCACGUCACGGGAAGGCGAGCAAGGUGCGUGUCGAAAGCCCGGAGACCGGCCUGACGGAUUCGACUGGUG